GAUUGGACAGCAAUAGAAUUUGACCGCAGGGCUAAGCAGAGCAACAGCAAAGACUGCAAUGCUUGGUGGGAGACUGGACAUGAUAGUGCAGCAGGGAAGCCUGAAAAGAUUCUCCUUGAAGACUCCCAGGACCACCUGAGAGCACUUUCAAAGAGAUAUGGCUGCAAGGAAGCAGGACAACUCUGAUUGAUCGUGGGGCUGGAGCGGAGCUAUGUGGAGAAGGACUCUGAGACUCCAUAGGAAUGCAUAACAUGUGUGGGAGGAUGGUUGUGACUCUUAUGUUACAUCAGUACUGUUUUCAGAAUUUUCCUAUAGCCUGAGUCAUCAUGGAUAUGAGUCCUUGGUGGACCAGUGGAUGAAUUAUUUUGAUGUUGAGAAACUGGCUUACAUAAGCUUGGCUUCUACUAAACGCUCGACAUGUAUCUGCUGAAUUGAACUGACUUCAUCUUUUAUACCUUCACACGUUACCUAUGACGUACUAAGCAAGACACCAAAGUCCUCUUGCCUGGAGAACAUGCAUGGUGUUACUCAGAAAGUGUCAUGACACAAUAUAAUAAAAGCACUUCUUAUUUUGAAUUUCAAGCAGAAA